GGGAGAAAGCAGGGGACCUUCGGGCCUUGCGCUAUCAGAUGAGCCUAGGUCGGAUUAGCUAGUUGGUGAGGUAAUGGCUCACCAAGGCGACGAUCCGUAACUGGUCUGAGAGGAUGAUCAGUCACACUGGAACUGAGACACGGUCCAGACUCCUACGGGAGGCAGCAGUGGGGAAUAUUGGACAAUGGGCGAAAGCCUGAUCCAGCCAUGCCGCGUGUGUGAAGAAGGUCUUCGGAUUGUAAAGCACUUUAAGUUGGGAGGAAGGGCAGUUACCUAAUACGUAAUUGUUUUGACGUUACCGACAGAAUAAGCACCGGCUAACUCUGUGCCAGCAGCCGCGGUAAUACAGAGGGUGCAAGCGUUAAUCGGAAUUACUGGGCGUAAAGCGCGCGUAGGUGGUUUGUUAAGUUGGAUGUGAAAUCCCCGGGCUCAACCUGGGAACUGCAUUCAAAACUGACUGACUAGAGUAUGGUAGAGGGUGGUGGAAUUUCCUGUGUAGCGGUGAAAUGCGUAGAUAUAGGAAGGAACACCAGUGGCGAAGGCGACCACCUGGACUAAUACUGACACUGAGGUGCGAAA
rnacentral:rRNA from 1 species